AACGAGAAGAACCUUACCAUCUCUACAUCUUUUGAGACCUCUAGAGAGAUAGUUUUUUCCUUUGGGGGACAGAAUGACAGGUGGUGCAUGGUUGUCGUCAGCUCGUGUCGUGAGAUGUUGGGUUAAGUCCCGCAACGAGCGCAACCCUUGUUGUUAGUUGCCAUCAUUAAGUUGGGCACUUUAAGGAGACUGCCGGUGACAAACCGGAGGAAGGUGGGGAUGACGUCAAAUCAUCAUGCCCCUUAUGAUUUGGGCUACACACGUGCUACAAUGGACGGUACAAAGGGCAGCGAAACCGCGAGGUCAAGCAAAUCUCAUAAAGCCGUUCUCAGUUCGGAUUGUAGUCUGCAACUCGACUACAUGAAGUCUGGAAUCGCUAGUAAUUCGUGGAUCCAUGA
rnacentral:rRNA from 1 species